CUGUAGUCCCAGUUAUGCAGGAGGCUGAGGCAGGAGAAUUGAAUAUUUGAGAAUAUUUAAUACAAUAGUACAAAUAUAAGUACACAAUGUAACAACUAUUUAUAUAGCAUUCACAUUGUAUGAAGUAUAAGAAAUCUGGAAAUGAUUUAAAGUAUAUGGGAGGAUGUGUGUAAGUUGUAUGCAGAUACAGCGCCAUUUUAUAAAAGGGAAUUCAACAUCCUUGGGUUUUGGUGUCCUUGGCAAAUGGCCAGCAAGGGUGGGGGAGUGCUGUCCAGAAACCAAUCCCAAAGCAAGGGACAAAUAUAUACUUCUACAGAUGAGAUAUUAACUCAGAAUCCAUGUCUGCACACACAUCUUUAAUGACAAGUUGCUUUAUCACUCAACAGCGGCACUACUAUGAUCUUUUACUUACACUUCAGCCAGCAGAGACAUUCAGCAGUGUGAGAUUUUUUAAGUUUUUCAGCUAUUGUGUAUGUUUCUAGUGUAUAAUAAAGUAACUUAUCCUUUAAGAUACUUAAGUAGCUUUUCAUUUCUAGCUUUAAAACCUGUUUUUUUUUUUUUCCCAGUAGUGGCAUACCUGCAUUAAAAAAUAAUGCCUUACCAAAAAAAGCACUCUGAAUGAUUGGUUUCAAAAUGAUGCCACAACAUAGGUGGCACCAACACUAUUCAAGAUCAUUCCAUUCCCAUCUCUAAAAAAAUUUUUGGCUGGGUAUGGUGGCUCACGCCUAUUAACUCAACAUUUUGAGAGGCCCAAAGCAAGAUCACUCAGGGCUAGGAGUUGAAGACUAGCCUGAGCAACAUGGCAAGAUCCUGUCUCAAAAUUCUUUUUAAAAUUUUUUUAAAAGCCCAGGCUUGGUGGCGCAUGCCUAUAGUUCCAGCUACUCAGGAGGCUGAGGCAGAAGGAUCUCUUGAACCCAGGAGUUUCAGGCUGUAGUUCACUAUGAUGGCAGCUGUGAAUAGCCUGGGCAACACAGCAAGACCUCAUCUCCAAAAAAAGUAUUUUAGAAUAAAUUUAUUAAAUUCUAAAGUUGUAGAAUUUUUAAAUUUGGAUAUUUUGGGAAAAUAUUUAAACCACUAUUGCAAACAAAACAACAAAAUGUACUUAUGUUUAUACUUAGGCACAAAGAAAACUACAGUAUUUUAAAGUAACCAUUACACAAUAUUGAGGUUGCAAAGAUUACUGAAGGCAUAACCUAAAAAAUGAGUUGAUUUCUAAAAAUGGGAAAAAGGAAAAAAAUAAUUUCUAAAAACAAGUAUGCAUACCUAAACCUACCUAAUGACACCUUAGAAAAUUCAAGUAUAGCACCAUUCAUUAACAUCAAUGAGGAUGUCAUCACACAUCAUGUAGCCUCUGCACACCGUGAGAAUAAAUGAAAAAGACAGGCAUCUUGCUAUCAUGACAAUAGUUUUGACCUCGCAGACCUCUCUGUGCUUACGCAACGGAUAAAGCCAUAAGAACUGUCCUGCCCUCAAGGAGCAACCUAAAGUAGGAAAAAAAAAACAAAAUUACACAAUUAUUAUUUACAAUUGUGAGAAGAGCUCUUGACAACAUUCAAAUGGAGGAUACAGUGUAGUAAGGGUGAGGGUA
rnacentral:lncRNA from 10 species